CUCACUUCCCGGUUCAGUGUUCAGCGGCUCGACUGCAGCUCAAACCCGAACACAGAGCAUUUUGUCGGCCGGCUAUCUGUUUCUGCUCCUCGCGACUAAACAACAACAGAACUAUGAGCCGCUGCGCUGCUGCCUAUGUUCUGCUGCUCGUCUGUGGCACUGUCUUCCAGCUUUCGCAUGGAGUUGAAGUCAACGUCAAAGACAAAGACGGCAAACUAUGUCUCUAUGCAAAUCUGAGUGUGGCAUUGUCAGUGUCAUAUGAAGCAGCAGCAGCAGCAGAGGAGAAAACUGUAAACAUCCAACUUCCCGAAAAAGUGACGACAGAAGGAAGUACGUGUGACAGCAGCAGCAGCAGUUCAGUGCUGAAGCUGAAUUUUGGAGAGGGCCACUCUCUGAGCAUGAACUUCUCCAAGGAUGUUAACAAAUACACGGCUGACUUUAUCACCUUCUCCUACAACCUCAGCGAUUCCUCCGUGUUCCCAGAUUCGGUUUCCAAUGAAACCAAGUCUGUGAGUGCCAAGACUGGGAUUAUAAGCAUCGAUGCGGACACCUGCUACUCCUGUAUGAGCAGUGACCUGAUUGAGGCCGGUCUGGUCAACAUGACACUGUCAAAUGUCCUCAUGCAGGCAUUUGUGGCCAAUGGCAGCAAAAGCGAGAAUCUCACCAUCUGUUCUGCUGACCAAACCACAACCUCUGCUGCUCCCACCACUCACGUCACCACCGACGCCCCUGUCACCAACUCCACUUUCACUACUUCUCUUCCUCCCACCACCCCCACCNUGUGUCUGCUGGCCAAGUUUGGACUGAGGCUGGGUUUCAAGCAGGAGGAGAACUACACAGAGAUAAACCUGGAGCCCAACAAGACCAAAGCCGCUGGACUCUGUGGUGAGAAGAGCAGUGAUCUGCACCUGGUGUCGGACACCAUCGAUCUGCUGUUAACCUUCUCUAAUGACUCGGGCAAAUUCCACCUCCAGACUCUGAACGUGAAAGUGAAGACCGGCUCGGGUGUGGAGUUUAACGAGUCCAAGUCUAACCUGAGUCUGUGGGAGGCAGCUGUCGGCAGCUCCUACAUGUGUAACAAAGAGCAGAACUACACCAUCACCGAACGGCUGAGUCUCUACACGUUUAAUCUUCAGGUUCAGCCCUUUGGAGUCGUGAAGGGAGGUUUCAGCACAGCUGAACAAUGCUUCCUGGACUCUGAUUUGAGCUUUCUGGUGCCCAUUGCAGUGGGCGUGGCCCUCAGUUUCCUCAUCAUCCUUGUUCUCAUCUCUUAUCUGAUUGGUCGGAGGAAGAGUCGCACUGGCUACCAGUCUGUAUAAACCAGGCUGGGGUUUUUUUUUUUUUUCCCUCCUCUUUUCCCUCUCUGCCUUUUCUUUUCCUGUGAGACUGUCCCACCGAAGACGAGCUGCUGUCUUCAUUUCCACUUCCUGUUUUAAAUUUCUGCCUCAUUUGUGUUCGGCUCUGGCAACUGAACAUUUGGAACAAGAAUGUUUUUAAAGUGUAAACUUCCGUUAGAUUUUUGCAUGUUUAACCAAACUAAAAGGAUUAGCUGUGGUUUGAUGUUCAACACCUUUACUCCAGACUGACAGAAUCACUCUUUACACGGUAUAGUGCCAGGAACUUUGCGUAUCAAAAAGCUUUCUCAUAAACAAGAAGUUCCCUUUUGGGAGAGACUGUCUGUGGGGGGGGGGAAAAUGUUCGCUAAAGACGAAUUACCGUAUUUCCAGAAUAUGAAAAAAAAUGUGACUCACAGUAGUAGCAAAUACUGGUACACAAGUCUAGAGUGCCCUCUAGCGGCCAUCAGUGUCAGUGCGACUUAUUUUAAUAUAUAAGUCGCACUUGUGUAUAAGUCGCAAACCCAGCCAAAGGAUGAAAAAAAAACGUGACUUAUAGUCCGUAAAAUACAGAAGUUCCUCAAAGUUCCAAAAGCUCUUGGACUUCCUGGUGGAUCCUCAGACAAAAGUCGCUUCUUUGGGCCAUUGUAAAGUCCUUUGUACAUAGACAACAGUCCAAAUAGUUCUGCGUGAGGACCACUGUUUUUCAAAAAACGCCCAGUGGUAACAAAUGAAGACAGCACUUCAUUGUAUUGUCCCCAGCAUCUAGUACUGUUCCUAUACCGGACACUUAGUUACUCAAAUUCCACUUAGUUCCUGGUACUAUUUUUCUUGUUUGUGUAUAAUACCUCCCCUAAAAAUCAUGUAUACAUUUCUCUUGUAUAAAAGUGUUAAUAUUUAAUGAAUGUAGAAAUAAUACUUUUGUCUGAUCUCGACUGAAUCGACUGAAAAAAAAAACACCUAAACUGAUGUUUUUCAUUUUGUGCCUCAGAAUUUCACCUCAAAUAUUUUUUUAUUUAAAUCACAAUACCUGUCAUUAUGUAAAUGUCUCCGUUUAGAUCUGCCCGGUGAUAGAAAUCCAGGUAUUUCAAAAAUAUCUAAAAUGUUUUCAAUUGAAUAUUGAAGUGAAAAAACAUGUUGUUUUUUUUAAUUAUAAUAUUGUUGAUUUUUUUUUUUUAGAAAGUUAACCUUUAAUACAAUUUCAAUACCCGUACCAAAUAAAGUUUUCUUCUAUUUUUUUUAAAAAUAUAUUUUACUCCAAUGUUCACGUCAAAGACUGACAUCGAAUUACGUUUUUUCCAUCACAAUUAGCGACUCUUUUUUUUUUUGUGUCUUUCUUUGAUUGCGACACCAAAUAAAAAGUCAUUGAUGAAACAUAAGAGACCGAUUUUUAUUUCGACUUUGCACUAAAAUGUAUAUUUAUGUUUUGAAUAAAUGCAUUUACGUUGUGCUUUACUGUAUUAUGUUAAUUGUUAUUAUUAGUACGUUACACAAUUGAAACACUAUUGAGCGCCUGGUAAUAUUUAUUUAUCUGUACAAACCACCGUAUGAGUUCCUGGCACUAGCAUUCUGCGUACAAUCCCCUGAUUAUUAAACAAAAGAUUAACAAAAUGAGCUGCUCUGCUGCCAUCUAGUGACUGGAGGCUAAGUUGAACUGAUGUCUAAAACCAGAGAUCAUGUCAGAUUUGACUUAAAACAAACCUUCCGAUAACACUUCACAGAACAGUUUGUGUCUUUAUUGAUCAGUUUCAUGUAGUAUUUUUUCCAAUUUCCACGGGCAAAUAUUUUUUUUUUUUACAAAAGAAAAAGCAAUUAUUAUAAAUGUAACUGUGCUAUAAGAAAAAAAAGAAAAAUACACUACACGUAUAUUACUAUCAUUGUAUUUUACUGUGUAAGUUCAGCUCGAGUCCUGCUUUCAGUGUGUUUAUCGGACAUAUUUGAAUUCUUACAAUUUACAAUUAAAAAAAAAAAAAAAAAGUAUUAGUUACCACAGAAAAACCAGCGACAAAAAUAACUGGACAGAACAAAUCUAAACGUAUAAUAUAGUUUGGAGUUAUUGAUGAGUUUGCAUAGACGGGAAUAUGAAGAGAUGUUUAGUUAAUUAAUCCAUGAAUCUUAUAUUUAACAACAUGAAAUUUGAAAUCGCUGUGUCCAGAACCAGAACACAUACGCCAGAAAAAUAAUCAUUUUCACACCUAAAAAA